AGUGAACGCUGGCGGUAGGCCUAACACAUGCAAGUCGAACGGCAGCACAGUAAGAGCUUGCUCUUACGGGUGGCGAGUGGCGGACGAGUGAGGAAUACAUCGGAAUCUACUUUUUCUUGGGGGAUAACGUAGGGAAACUUACGCUAAUACCGCAUACGACCUACGGGUGAAAGCAGGGGAUCUUCGGACCUUGCGCGAUUGAAUGAGCCGAUGUCGGAUUAGCUAGUUGGCGGGUUAAGGCCCACCAAGGCGACGAUCCGUAGCUGGUCUGAGAGGAUGAUCAGCCACACUGGAACUGAGACACGGUCCAGACUCCUACGGGAGGCAGCAGUGGGGAAUAUUGGACAAUGGGCGCAAGCCUGAUCCAGCCAUACCGCGUGGGUGAAGAAGGCCUUCGGGUUGUAAAGCCCUUUUGUUGGGAAAGAAAAGCAGCAGGUUAAUACCCCGCUGUUCUGACGGUACCCAAAGAAUAAGCACCGGCUAACUUCGUG
rnacentral:rRNA from 1 species